CAUUAAAUCAGUUAUCGUUUAUUUGAUAGUACCUUACUACUUGGAUAACCGUGGUAAUUCUAGAGCUAAUACAUGCUAAAAACCCCGACUUACGGAGGGGUGUAUUUAUUAGAUUAAAAACCAAUGCCCUCCGGGGCUUCCUGGUGAUUCAUAAUAACUUCUCGGAUCGCACGGCCUUGCGCCGGCGAUGGUUCAUUCAAAUUUCUGCCCUAUCAACUUUCGAUGGCUGGGUCUUGGCCAGCCAUGGUGACAACGGGUAACGGAGGGUUAGGGCUCGACCCCGGAGAGGGAGCCUGAGAAACGGCUACCACAUCCAAGGAAGGCAGCAGGCGCGCAAAUUACCCAAUCCCGACUCGGGGAGGUAGUGACAAUAAAUACUGAUACAGGGCUCUUUAGGGUCUUGUAAUUGGAAUGAGUACAAUUUAAAUCCCUUAACGAGGAACAAUUGGAGGGCAAGUCUGGUGCCAGCAGCCGCGGUAAUUCCAGCUCCAAUAGCGUAUAUUAAAGUUGUUGAGGUUAAAAAGCUCGUAGUUGAACCUUGGGCCUGGCUGGCCGGUCCGCCUCACCGCGUGCACUGGUCCGGCCGGGUCUUUCCCUCUGGGGAGCCGCAUGCCCUUCGUUGGGUGUGUCGGGGAACCAGGACUUUUACUCUGAACAAAUUAGAUCGCUUAAAGAAGGCCUAUGCUCGAAUAUAUUAGCAUGGAAUAAUAGAAUAGGACGUGUGGUUCUAUUUUGUUGGUUUCUAGGACCGCCGUAAUGAUUAAUAGGGACAGUCGGGGGCAUCAGUAUUCAAUUGUCAGAGGUGAAAUUCUUGGAUUUAUUGAAGACUAACUACUGCGAAAGCAUUUGCCAAGGAUGUUUUCAUUAAUCAGGAACGAAAGUUAGGGGAUCGAAGACGAUCAGAUACCGUCGUAGUCUUAACCAUAAACUAUGCCGAUUAGGGAUCGGACGGUGUUAUUUUUUGACCCGUUCGG
rnacentral:rRNA from 1 species